rnacentral:rRNA from 1 species
GACGAACGCUGGCGGCGUGCUUAACACAUGCAAGUCGAACGGAAAGGCCCUGCUUUUGUGGGGUGCUCGAGAGGCGAACGGGUGAGCAACACGUGAGUAACCUGCCCUUGACUUUGGGAUAACUUCAGGAAACUGGGGCUAAUACCGGAUAGGAGCUCCUGCUGCAUGGUGGGGGUUGGAAAGUUUCGGCGGUUGGGGAUGGACUCGCGGCUUAUCAGCUUGUUGGUGGGGUAGUGGCUUACCAAGGCUUUGACGGGUAGCCGGCCUGAGAGGGUGACCGGCCACAUUGGGACUGAGAUACGGCCCAGACUCCUACGGGAGGCAGCAGUGGGGAAUAUUGCACAAUGGGCGGGAGCCUGAUGCAGCAACGCCGCGUGCGGGAUGACGGCCUUCGGGUUGUAAACCGCUUUCGCCUGUGACGAAGCGUGAGUGACGGUAAUGGGUAAAGAAGCACCGGCUAACUACGUG